rnacentral:lncRNA from 1 species
GGCGAGCCGGAGGCCGAUGCCGGUGCAGGGGAGCGAGGAGUACGCGGAGCUGGAGCGAGACCCGGAGAAGGCCUUCAUCCGCACCAUCACCAGCCAGUUCCAUGCCCUGGUGGGCAUCUCGCUCAUGGAGAUCCUCUCCAAGCACUCCUCCGACGAGGUCUACCUGGGCCAGCACGACACGCCGGCGUGGACGUCGGACGCCAAGGCGCUGGAGGCGUUCAAGCGGUUCGGGGCGAAGCUGGAGGGCAUCGAGAAGCAGGUGGUGGCCAUGAACUCGGACCCGCAGCUCAAGAACCGCACCGGGCCGGCCAAGUUCCCAUACAUGCUGCUCUACCCAAACACCUCCGACCACACGGGACAGGCCGAGGGGCUCACCGCCAGGGGCAUCCCGAACAGCAUAUCCAUCUGAUCUGAGCACGUCCGUCGUCGAGACCUCAUGCUUUUGUGCUAUCCUUGCUUGCUUACACCGGAGCUAGCUUGUGUGUGUGUGUGUGACAG